rnacentral:tRNA from 5 species
GGGUCGGUAGCUCAGUGGUAGAGCGAGAGAUUGCAGAUCUCUAGGUCUCGUGUUCGAUCCACGAUCGGCCCU